GCCUGUCAUCCCAUACACCUGGGAGGAUGAAGCAGGAGGAUGGACACAUUCAGGGUGCAUGCAUGUGUGACAUGGCAAGGAUAUGGAUGUCAGAGACCCACCCGCAGGAGUCACUUCUCACCACCGUGUGGAUCCCAGGAUCAACUGAGGCCACCAUGCUUGAAUAGAAAUCACUGCGACUUCCUGUCUGAAAUCCAGAAGGCUUCUCCUGAGGACCUGGAAGGUUGUAGUAUUGGUAAGCUGCUCUCUGGAGAGGGGAAUGGGGUUCGCACUCUGUCCAGCAAAGUCGAAAUCACGGACUUCACCUUAAAGCAGGUCCAGGACACUAGCCCAGGGAUCCCUGCAGAGCCUCCCUCUAUGAGUAAAAUGAAACCAGAUUUUCGGACCUUGUCUAAACUUGUAUCCUCAAGGGCUGGUGAGAUG
ensembl:lincRNA Gm43091 predicted gene 43091